GGCUUUAUAGUCAAAUUUGUAUGAUAUUAGUCUGCAAUUCUAAAGUUGGGUUUAAAAAUUCCCUAAAGCUU
rnacentral:tRNA from 1 species